CCUACGGGUGGCAGCAGUGGGGAAUCUUCCGCAAUGGGCGAAAGCCUGACGGAGCAACGCCGCGUGAUCGAAUGAAGGUCUUCGGGUUGUAAAGAUCUGUUGACAGGGACGAAUAAGCAAUGCGAAUAGUUUUGUGUAUGACGGUACACGUUUCGAAAGCUCCGGCGAACUACGUUCCAGCAGCCGCGGUAAUACGUAGGGGGCAAGCGUUGUCCGGAAUUACUGGGCGUAAAGGGCGCGUAGGUGGGCGCGUAAGUCAGGUGUGAAAACUCCGGGAUCAACCUGGAGACUGCACUUGGAACUGGGUGUCGUGAGGGCAGGAGAGGAAAGUGGAAGUCCUAGUGUAGCGGGGAAAUGCGUAGAUAUUAGGAGGAACACCAGUGGCGAAGGCGACUUUCUGGACUGUACCUGACGCUGAGGCGCGAAAGCGUGGGUAGCGAACGGGAUUAGAUACCCCUGUAGUC
rnacentral:rRNA from 1 species